UACGUAGGGUCCGAGCGUUGUCCGGAAUUAUUGGGCGUAAAGAGCUCGUAGGCGGUUUGUCGCGUCUGCUGUGAAAUCCCGAGGCUCAACCUCGGGCCUGCAGUGGGUACGGGCAGACUGGAGUGCGGUAGGGGGAGAAUGGAAUUCCUGGUGUAGCGGUGGAAUGCGCAGAUAUCAGGAGGAACACCGAUGGCGAAGGCAGUUCUCUGGGACGUAACUGACGCUGAGGAGCGAAAGCGUGGGGAGCGAACAGG
rnacentral:rRNA from 1 species